UACGUAGGGGGCUAGCGUUGUCCGGAAUUAUUGGGCGUAAAGAGCUUGUAGGCGGUUUGUCGCGUCUGCUGUGAAAAUCCGGGGCUCAACCCCGGACUUGCAGUGGGUACGGGCAGACUGGAGUGUGGUAGGGGAGACUGGAAUUCCUGGUGUAGCGGUGGAAUGCGCAGAUAUCAGGAGGAACACCGAUGGCGAAGGCAGAUCUCUGGGCCGUAACUGACGCUGAGGAGCGAAAGCAUGGGGAGCGAACAGG
rnacentral:rRNA from 1 species